rnacentral:rRNA from 1 species
GAUGAACGCUGGCGGCGUGCCUAACACAUGCAAGUCGAACGGAAUAUAUUCGCUGCAGAGAUUUCGGUCGAAGCUUGAGUAUACUUAGUGGCGGACGGGUGAGUAACGCGUGGGCAACCUGCCUCAUACCGGGGGAUAGCAGUUGGAAACGACUGAUAAUACCGCAUAAGCGCACAGCAUCGCAUGAUGCAGUGUGAAAAACUCCGGUGGUAUGAGAUGGGCCCGCGUCAGAUUAGCCAGUUGGCAGGGUAACGGCCUACCAAAGCGACGAUCUGUAGCCGGCCUGAGAGGGCGGACGGCCACAUUGGGACUGAGACACGGACCCAAACUCC